CGUGUGUGUGUGUGUGAGAGAAUGUUUUGCCGUCACUGAGAUCGCCUGUGUUCCUAAAUGUGUGUCCUUCUCCCUCGUGUUUAUUUGGCAGUGAGGGGUUCGCAGGAGACAACUUUGCACGUUGCUCUGGAGACACCGUGACCAUGGCCCAGACACAGCGUGAAUCAGUUUCUCUUUCCUGCCCACAACCCAGCUGGGUUUUCUUUCUGAUUCAUAUCACAGACUUUCUAAACACAGACUCAACAUCGCAAGACUUCCGGGAAUGCUUUGGAAGCGUACUCGGCAGACCAGACCAGGGUUUGAGAAGUUCUUUGUGUGGGAGGCCAAUGAUAAGGGCUCUGAGGUGCACCUCCAGGCCGACCCCACCAAGGUGGAGCUGCUGCACCAGUCCUUCAAGGUCAAGAAGGAGGUUUUCAAGGACAAACAGAAGAAGACUAUCUUGGAUAAGG